GAUGAACGCUGGCGGCGUGCCUAAUACAUGCAAGUCGAGCGAACAGACGAGGAGCUUGCGCCUCUGACGUUAGCGGCGGACGGGUGAGUAACACGUGGAUAACCUACCUAUAAGACUGGGAUAACAUCGGGAAACCGGAGCUAAUACCGGAUAAUAUAUUGAACCGCAUGGUUCAAUAGUGAAAGACGGUUUUGCUGUCACUUAUAGAUGGAUCCGCGCCGCAUUAGCUAGUUGGUAAGGUAACGGCUUACCAAGGCAACGAUGCGUAGCCGACCUGAGAGGGUGAUCGGCCACACUGGAACUGAGACACGGUCCAGACUCCUACGGGAGGCAGCAGUAGGGAAUCUUCCGCAAUGGGCGAAAGCUUGACGCAGCAACGCCGCGUGAGUGAUGAAGGUCUUCGGGUCGUAAAACUCUGUUAUUAGGGAAGAACAAAUGUGUAAGUAACUAUGCACGUCUUGACGGUACCUAAUCAGAAAGCCACGGCUAACUACGUG
rnacentral:rRNA from 1 species